rnacentral:rRNA from 1 species
GGAUGAACGCUGGCGGCGUGCCUAAUACAUGCAAGUCGAGCGAACAGACGAGGAGCUUGCUCCUCUGACGUUAGCGGCGGACGGGUGAGUAACACGUGGAUAACCUACCUAUAAGACUGGGAUAACUUCGGGAAACCGGAGCUAAUACCGGAUAACAUGUUGAACCGCAUGGUUCAACAGUGAAAGACGGUCUUGCUGUCACUUAUAGAUGGAUCCGCGCCGCAUUAGCUAGUUGGUAAGGUAACGGCUUACCAAGGCAACGAUGCGUAGCCGACCUGAGAGGGUGAUCGGCCACACUGGAACUGAGACACGGUCCAGACUCCUACGGGAGGCAGCAGUAGGGAAUCUUCCGCAAUGGGCGAAAGCCUGACGGAGCAACGCCGCGUGAGUGAAGAAGGUCUUCGGAUCGUAAAACUCUGUUAUUAGGGAAGAACAAAUGUGUAAGUAACUAUGCACGUCUUGACGGUACCUAAUCAGAAAGCCACGGCUAACUACGUGCCAGCAGCCGCGGUAAUACGUAGGUGGCAAGCGUUAUCCGGAAUUAUUGGGCGUAAAGCGCGCGUAGGCGGUUUUUUAAGUCUGAUGUGAAAGCCCACGGCUCAACCGUGGAGGGUCAUUGGAAACUGGAAAACUUGAGUGCAGAAGAGGAAAGUGGAAUUCCAUGUGUAGCGGUGAAAUGCGCAGAGAUAUGGAGGAACACCAGUGGCGAAGGCGACUUUCUGGUCUGUAACUGACGCUGAUGUGCGAAAGCGUGGGGAUCAAACAGGAUUAGAUACCCUGGUAGUCCACGCCGUAAACGAUGAGUGCUAAGUGUUAGGGGGUUUCCGCCCCUUAGUGCUGCAGCUAACGCAUUAAGCACUCCGCCUGGGGAGUACGACCGCAAGGUUGAAACUCAAAGGAAUUGACGGGGACC